GACGAACGCUGGCGGCGUGCUUAACACAUGCAAGUCGAACGGAAAGGCCCUGCUUUUGUGGGGUGCUCGAGUAGCGAACGGGUGAGUAACACGUGAGUAACCUGCCCUUGACUUUGGGAUAACUUCAGGAAACUGGGGCUAAUACCGGAUAGGAGCUCCUGCUGCAUGGUGGGGGUUGGAAAGUUUCGGCGGUUGGGGAUGGACUCGCGGCUUAUCAGCUUGUUGGUGGGGUAGUGGCUUACCAAGGCUUUGACGGGUAGCCGGCCUGAGAGGGUGACCGGCCACAUUGGGACUGAGAUACGGCCCAGACUCCUACGGGAGGCAGCAGUGGGGAAUAUUGCACAAUGGGCGGAAGCCUGAUGCAGCAACGCCGCGUGCGGGAUGACGGCCUUCGGGUUGUAAACCGCUUUCGCCUGUGACGAAGCGUGAGGGACGGUAAUGGGUAAAGAAGCACCGGCUAACUACGU
rnacentral:rRNA from 1 species